UCCCAGUAAUGUGGCUGCGUGAGUCCUAGGCUGAGUCGAGGGGAUCCUGCUAAAAGCAACACUUUGCCCAGCGCGGUGGCGAAGGGGAUGGGAUUUGGCUCAUGCAAUUUUUGCAGUAACUUGCUAUAGUCUGUCGAUGUUUGCUCAGUCGCACCUAGUCAAACUGGUUUGCGUUGUCUCCUUGCCUUUUGUGUCCUGCUAUUCUCCGUACGGGAGAGAAGCUCUUGUUCGUAAUGGGCUGAUGAGUCCUUUGACAAGUCAGCAUGUUUACGCAGAAAGCGACCUGUCUAGCUCCAUGCGUGACUAAACUGCGUACCUACGUAACUAUAUUUCUGUAACUCAAGCCUUCUCUGCUGCGCCCCUUUCCUCACGUAGGUUUGUUUUAUUCUCUCCUGUCUGCCAUGUCCAUCAGCCAGACUAUGUGCUCCGCUAGCAGAAAGUGCGGUGCCCAAGGCGGCGUUUGAUCACAGACACGGUCUGUAUUGAUGCGUUUUACAGCUCACUUGUUGCGCUCAGAAUUCAGAGAUGACUUAAAAAUUUGAAAGUGAGAAAACUCAUCUUCAAGUGUACCCAAACUUGUAUUCGGCCUUACUCAUUGCUUUGAGUAUUAGGCAGAAGCAUCACUGGAGUUCUUAUGGGACUGGUUAUCCCCACAAAUAUGAGCAUUCAUACGGCUUUUAGUAGACGUGGCAGAGCUACAUCUACAGAGUAUCAGGCUCUAGGGCUCCAAGCUUGCAAAAUUACUGUCUUUAGAUUGACAUUAACAGAACUACACACAACGGCACUGUUCAGAGGAUGAAGCCCUAAAUUGGAAAGCGCUAGGCAGAAAUUCAAACAGACUAUGGAAUUGCUGGACUGGGCAAAAAAGCUGUUAGCCUGGAGGACCCGUGCUCGCUGCAGCACCAGACAACUUUGAAUGAAUCACAGGGUUCCAAGAAUUAGCGACAAACCUCGUCACGUGGGCAACCUGCAGCACAGGAGCUGCCAGAACAAUGCGGUGACUAAGGAGGCUGAUGCGAUCCCUGGAUGUAGAAUACCUUCUGUAGGAGUAAAGAGAAGCAUUAGGCCCAGACAGCGGUUGAAAACCACAGCUCAGUUGGCGAUGAGUGCUGUGCAGCAGCGGAAGCGCGUGGAAAAAUUCUGGCUGACUCAUCCAUAAUUCAUCUGGCGUCCUGAGGAACGUGCGCACUGGAGCGGGAUCCCUGGCACUCCUGCAAGGGAGACAGGUCUGCUGUCCUGGUGAGACCUGGGCAGCCACCAGCCCCCUUCCACCCAGAUGAAAACCUGAAGACCAGCACCUGUCAAAGUGCUUAUUAACCCAUAACAGAACUGGUGAAAGCAGACCAUCACUGAAUGUUUCUUUUUCUCAGCCUGUUUAAAACAGGCACAACAGUAAUAGAGACAAGCUUUUAAACUAGAUGCUUGUGACCUAUUUGGAACAUGUACAAUCAGUGCAGACUUUGCUCAUUGGUUCUGAUUCUUGUUUUCUUAAGGGGGCCUCUGAAGGAACAAAUGCAACUUUUCUUAUACCUUUGACUAUAUGCACCCUUGGCGCAGGCAGGCAGGGGUGCUGCUUGAACUGCAACGGCCCCAGGACGUGGUAGGGAAGAGCUGCCUGAAUUUGAGCGGAGAGCCUCACUGUGACACUUGUUUUUCGGUCCUGCCUGAGAGUUCACUGAACUCCACACAGAAAGUCUGUCAAGUUAGGAAAGUUUCCUGUAGAGUCUGCCUCUUCAAAAAAUACCCAACAGCCAGAUUAAAUCUAUCUUGCAGUGACUUCCAUGUCAUCAGACAGAGGAGUCUCUAAAGAGGUGCAAGCGCAACGGCCAAGUAAUUGUGCUAGAGAUGCAUGAGUUAGUUAAUUUUAAAAGAUGUUUCCUGUUUCACCCUUAUGCAUGAUCUUCUCUUAAAAAAAAGGCAAAUUCAAAGUAGAACUAAAUACAUUUUCUUAAGUAGCAUCAACUAUGGGAAAGGUCCUUUCAACUCCAUACCAUAUAUAAUCAUGAUACUGUAAUCUCGUAAUCGGGGUAUCUUAUCUCUGAAGUUGACAUUUGGAGUUCAGCCAUAUAUCAAAAAAAAUCCCUCUGAAAGGGCAGAUUAGUCAGAUUACUACUGGCUUGCCUUUUUGCUAUUACCUUAUGUUUAUUUCCUCAGUUACGCACUGCAUAGUUCAAACAUUGCGUGCUCCUUAGUAGUGAGCAUCUCCAUUCCUGUUCAGAAACGGGGCCCUGGCUUUGUAUCUGAACGCUAUGCACUAUCAUCUGGCACACUAUGCACCAAUGCAAAGCUUGAUUUACCAAUAAGAAUCCAAGGGAGUUCAAAAUCUAGCACAAGUGAGAUUCGAGGACCAGGACUAGGACUUUUGUUUUGGAGCUGCUAGUCAGAGAUUUUUGCAGUAGUAGAGUCGAUGUCCAUCAUCUGAGCCCUUGUAAACAAAGGCAAAACUGUGCAGUGCCUAAUAUGUUGGUGUUUAUUUUAAGAGUAUCAUCUUGCAAUGCCAAAUUCAAGAAUUUGUCUCACGCAUCUGUUGAUUUUGUAACUAAAGCACUGUUGGUCAAAUUGUUUUCCUCACUGCUUGGUAAUUGUGGGAGGAAAAGAUGUAAGUGGAUCGGAAUUGUGCACCACAACAACGAAUGUAACUCUCAUUUAAGGCACAGGAUAUGAGAUAGAAGAAUCAAACUGGAGCCAGCUGAGGACAGCUCUUCUACCAGGCACUCAAGUUCCUCAAGGAGCAUUUUAUUCAACCCUUGAAACCUAGCUGGGAUAUUUCUUCCAGUAGAACUACACCUGUAGUGUAGGCAGAGUGCAGACGUUUUACCACAGUCAAACCAUAGGAGCUUGGUUGCACGUUCCUGUGUUCUUGGCAGCACUGAGGCAGCAUGAAUUAGUGAUUUUUUUUUUUCAUGUAUGUGUUUGUAAAAGGCACGAUACUGGAUGUUCAACACCACUGAGAAGCCAACAUAAAUAUACUGUGGUAAUGACCUUCAGGAUGUGGAAGAGAAUGUUAUAUCACUUAAUGAUAAGUAAAUAGAAUAACAAUUCAGGCCUUGUUAACUUGACAGUGUCUUUAAAUUCAAUACAGUGGUAGAUACCUGGCCACUUCCUACCACGCUUUUUAAGUUCUGCAUUAAGCAUUGGAGGCUAGAUAUUACACCUGUACAGUAUGUCCUUUCUUCUCAGUUAAAAAUUAAAGUAAGAGGUCAUUCUUGAACAGGCUCAGAAACUAUACAGGGUUUUGAUAAAAUACAGGGCUAACUGUAGUUGUAUAGAGCUCCUCCUCCUCUUCCUAUCUUCCCCUGCUUUUAGGACACAUAUUAACGGGAGUUGUCUUUCAGGCAGUGUUGAUGUCCACCAUUAGCACACCUCUUGAAAAGGUGUUGCUGGAUAUGUCAUCGUUUGCAUUCAUUUCUUCAGGAACGUAGAGAACCCUUGGUUGCCAGAGACAGAAAACACAAGCUCCGAUAACCAUCACUUGGCACUCCUCGCUGGCCAAUUUUUAACUACUGCUUUCACACGCAUUUGUUACUAGCCGUUCAUUAACAAGGAAUGAUUAGUUGCUUGUUACAGCGGGGGAGGUGUCCUAAACUUUUCCUGCACUGUUGCCCCAGCAACGUUUGCUGGCUUUGUCUUCCAGUUCACAUCAAUCCUGCUUGAACCAACACCAAGCUGUAAGCGCACACCUGACCAAGGAACAUUUAAAAGAUUUGCGUGGCUGCAUUUAUAUUCUCUGUGGGUGGCAGACAUGGUUAUAAUCCUUCCUUUUCCUGCAUUUUUUACUGUGAUUCAAUAUUCCUUCUGUACAUAAGACUGCGACACUUUAAUUAUGGAUCGUGCUUCCAUUUAAAUUGAUGGAGAAUUUGUAUUAGAAGUUUGGAAGAGAAGUUGCUGCCUUCCCUGCUAUUAAUAGUAUGACUGCUUUAUAUAACUACAUGACUCCCAUACGGUGGAUAAAUUAUAACAGACAAAUAAGCAUCUCUGCCCACAAGGAACUUUUACUUCUGCAUAAAAAGAGAUGAAAGGAUACAGAGCAGGAAAGUUCAAUGCAGAAAACAGACUGGGCUUUGGAGGGUAGAGAGAAAAUGCUGCAAAGAAGUAGCAAGUCUGCGAAGGUCAAAUCUUAUCCUACCGAUGAUGGGCAGACAACAGAAUUACGGCCAGCAUUAGUGUCUCAUACUACGUACAGCAAUUCCUCGAUUAGUGGUGACAAUUGAGAUGUCAGUAACUGAGGUGAAGAGGCUAUUUUUCCCAUUAAGUGUUUAAUUUUGCAACGGUAUUUCCUCUCGCCCAGGCUCUGCCUCACCUCUUCCUAUGAGCCAGGGAUGACAUGUCACUGAGUCGCACCUCACUUCAGCUGCACUGCAGCUUCAGCAGCUUUUGGUCCCACCUCUUCAGCAUUUUGCCAGUGCUACCUCCUCUUCUCCUUGCUCAGACACAAAGCUCAGGCAGGGAAGUUAUUUUUUAAUAUGCCCGCCUGCCCAUACCCAGUGCCGCUCUUCCUGCUGGGCCACCUGCUUGCCAGUUUGAGCUGCACACCCCGCUUGGCUUUGUGCUGACCAGGUGCGGCAGGAGGCUACUUGGUGGCACCUAACACUUCAUAUGGGACCCACAGGGGCCAGGUAAAGACCCUCGUGCUGAAUUGCAUCAAAUAAAGGAAUUCAUGCUGCAGGCAGAGGCUUUGGAGAGCAAAAGCAUGCUUUGACCAACAUGCUAUCUCUAGAAGCCAAAUGUGUAGUAAAAGAAAUCACUAAAAGCAAAGCCCCCCACAAAUUAUACUAUCUAAAAUGACAUAGAUUUAAAUUUCCCAUACAGUGAAUUUAAAGUAAAUAUCUCAUGCCUGUAAAAAUAUUGUAAGACAUUAUAAAGGCUUCAAAGUCAAGCACCCAUAAUAAUAAGAAACAUGUUAAUUUGGAUUAAGCUUUGCAGCUUUAAUUCUUUCCCUCUGAGUGCACUUGGAUCCUAGCAGUCUUGAUUUGUAUGAUCACAUAUAACUUUUUCCAGAACACAGAAUGCUUGAUUAAGCAGGAACUGGUUCAUCUGUUUUUGUCAAAUAUGCUAGAAUGGGAGGGAUGUCCUCCAGGUACCUGUCUUUCUCCAUUAACUGCUGACAGAAGUGAGGUGAGAACUUAGGUGACAUACCUAACGCGCUGCUCAGUGAAGUGAUUCCUGCUUCUAGUACUGACGCAGAAAGCUCUUACUGGGCGUACUAGACUUGUUCCCAGUAAAGCUCACCACCAGCUCAUCCACAACCAGUGCAAGCCUUCCACGGAGAGAAACUGUAGUGCUUGACGGCUUCUGGUACGCUUCCACAGUGUGUCACUCGCUGGCUAAAAGAGGCCUGUGUGGCCCAGGAACCUUAUGUCAAUCAGAACUGAAACACAUCUCUCUCUGCACCAGUUUGUACCUUUCUGCAGUCUGGCAACAACUUUUGGAAAUGCAUUUUCAGGUUCUUCA